rnacentral:rRNA from 1 species
AUGUCUUCGCCGAGUUCGUUGGAGGAAGAAGCAUCGAGUUCGCCGGAGGUACAAGAACAUCCGUCGAGCACUCCAAUGUCACCUGCAGCGGCUACACCAGAGGUCCUUAAGAUGAGUGAUGAACAUCCGUCAAGCCAUCCAAUGUUGCAUGUGGCGGCUACACCAGAGAAGGAAGCAGAAAUAGGCGUCCUGACAGUCAGCGACACCAAGAUAACCACAGGCGGCAUGGCCGUCAGCCCGACACCAAGGUUCUGGCUCCCACGGUCGGUCAACUUGACUCUGCUACAGGACAGCCACAUGGGCAUCGCACUGACUCGAAGACCACAUGCAUGUGGAGCAUGA